GCGAGAGUAACCAAGCGGUCAACGGUGAACGACUCAAGAUCGUUUCGCGCAGGCGUUCAGGGGUUCGAAUCCCUUCUCUCGCACUA
rnacentral:tRNA from 1 species